CAUCUGCAGCCUUGAUCUGACCCUGCCCCAAACAUUUGGCAUGUGGAAGCUGGCCCAGUUGUCACAGAGCAAGAAGAUUAAUUUUCCAGUGCUUACAGCCUUCUCUUGGGCUUCUGCAUGUCCUCACAGUAAUCACUGUUUAAAAACACUGAUAAAAUUCAAGAAUGUGCCAAUAAUAGCUCCCUCAUCACAGGCUGGGGUGGAUUUCCAAAGCACCAGAAGCUGAAUGCUGAUCCUCCCGGGAAGGCGGGACAAUUCCUUCAGAAGAUCCAGGUUGAAGUCAGACAAGUUAAUGGUGAACAGCAUAAUACUAAUGCAUUCCUAGCACUUCAGGGAAAUUCAAGGACACCCACCCCUCAACCUAUUGUCUACAGAACAUAUCCCAUCAGGAGGACUAAGGUCAGUAAAUUUCAAAUGGGUCCUGUCCUCCUGGGAGAAGAGCAUACCAGAAGUGUGAUACUUAUCAAGACAGCCAGUAUGGAUACACAAAAUGUGGUAUGUCCAUACAAUGAAAACACUAGCUGGCAGUGAAAGUAAACAGACGAGGCUACUUGCACCAUUGUGGAUGGAUCUCAAAGGCAUUAUGCCAAGAAGCCUGACACAAACGACUGUGUACUGUAUGAUUUUGUUUAUAUGACAUUAUGGGAAAGGCAAAACCAUAUGGACAGAAAACAGACUGAUGGCUGCCUCACAAGGGUGGAGGGAGGUGGCUGGAUACAAAGGAGAAAGAAGGAACUUUUUGGGGUCAUGAAAAUGUUCUACAGAUUAAUGAGAAAACUGCUACUGGGUCUUGGGUGAUGGUGUGAAAAGGGGCAAAAGCCAUUGCAGGAAAGUUUAUUUUGGGCAGAGGAUACAAUUCUGUUGUUUUGAAAAACAGGGUUAUCUGCUCAGGCUUUGGCUUGGGCAAAUGGCACAAGUUUUAUUUCUAUGUUCUUCAGGAUAUCAAUGAGUGGGCAAACACAAGGUUGAAGGGGGCAGAGAAUACCCUGUGAGCUGAGCCCCAAUUCUUAAACAACUGCUAAUGGCCUCUAAUGGAUUAAAAUACGGUUCUUCUUCUUUUUAAA
rnacentral:lncRNA from 12 species